UAAAAAAACCCUUUGAUGAAACAUUUGGAAAAAUACAAGAAAGUGAAAAAAAUCUUAUGAUGAGCACAUUGUACAAACUUCAUGAUCGGUUGGCCCAGAUUGCAGGAGAUCAUGAAUGUGGCAGUUCUAGUCAAAGAACACUUUCUAUCCAAGACGCAGCUGCAUAUUUAAAA